rnacentral:rRNA from 1 species
AUGGAGUGGGAUCACCAGUAUGGAAGCAAAUUGAAACACUCUAAUGGGAUGGGGCAAACCACAAUUAACCCUAUUUGGAGUAAGAUAUGGAAGUUAGCUUGUCCGGCAAAAGUUAAAAUUUUCUUAUGGCGUACGCUACAUGGUACAAUCCCAUGCCGAGUUACGCUAGCAAACAGACAUAUGAAGGUUUCACCCAUCUGCCCCACGUGCUUGGAGGGUUUAGAAGAUACAAAACAUACGCUCUUCCGUUGUAGUAAAGCAAAGGAGGUCUGGAAAAGGCUGGGGAUGGAUGAUAUUAUUGAUAAAGCAUGUGAAGUUGACCGCGUGGGAGAGGCGGUGUUGGAGUAUCUACUACUCCUACCAGAUCAACAUUUGUGGAUAUUGGGUUACCACAAUGUACGUGAGAUGAUUGCUAUUUCAGCACGGUAUCUAUGGUGGGAAAGACGGAAGCUGGUACACAAUGAAAAACUCAAAAUGUAA